rnacentral:rRNA from 1 species
GGCAGGCCUAAUACAUGCAAGUCGAACGAGAUUAAGAGGCUUGCUUCUUAUGAAAGUGGCGCACGGGUGCGUAACGCGUAUGCAACCUACCUUAAUCAGGGGGAUAGCCCGAAGAAAUUCGGAUUAAGACCGCAUAAAAACACAGGAUAGCAUUAUCCGAUGUUCAAAUAUUUAUAGGAUUAAGAUGGGCAUGCGUGUCAUUAGCUAGUUGGCGGGGUAACGGCCCACCAAGGCGACGAUGACUAGGGGAUCUGAGAGGAUGACCCCCCACACUGGUACUGAGACACGGACCAGACUCCUACGGGAGGCAGCAGUAAGGAAUAUUGGUCAAUGGAGGGAACUCUGAACCAGCCAUGCCGCGUGCAGGAAGACAGCCCUCUGGGUCGUAAACUGCUUUUAUUCGGGAAUAAACCUUUCUACGUGUAGGAAGCUGAAUGUACCGAAGGAAUAAGGAUCGGCUAACUCCGUGCCAGCAGCCGCGGUAAUACGGAGGAUCCAAGCGUUAUCCGGAUUUAUUGGGUUUAAAGGGUGCGUAGGCGGCUUAUUAAGUCAGGGGUGAAAGACGGUGGCUCAACCAUCGCAGUGCCCUUGAUACUGAUGAGCUUGAAUACACUAGAGGUAGGCGGAAUGUGACAAGUAGCGGUGAAAUGCAUAGAUAUGUCACAGAACACCGAUUGCGAAGGCAGCUUACUAUGGUGUUAUUGACGCUGAGGCACGAAAGCGUGGGGAUCAAACAGGAUUAGAUACCCUGGUAGUCCACGCCCUAAACGAUGAAUACUCGCUGUUAGCGAUAUACAGUUAGCGGCUAAGCGAAAGCGUUAAGUAUUCCACCUGGGGAGUACGCCCGCAAGGGUGAAACUCAAAGGAAUUGACGGGGGCCCGCACAAGCGGAGGAGCAUGUGGUUUAAUUCGAUGAUACGCGAGGAACCUUACCCGGGCUUGAAAGUUAGUGAAUGAUCUAGAGAUAGAUCAGUGAGCAAUCACACGAAACUAGGUGCUGCAUGGCUGUCGUCAGCUCGUGCCGUGAGGUGUUGGGUUAAGUCCCGCAACGAGCGCAACCCCUAUGUUUAGUUGCCAGCACGUUAAGGUGGGGACUCUAAACAGACUGCCUGUGCAAACAGAGAGGAAGGAGGGGACGACGUCAAGUCAUCAUGGCCCUUACGUCCGGGGCUACACACGUGCUACAAUGGAUGGUACAGAGGGCAGCAAGCUGGCAACAGCAAGCGAAUCUCAAAAAGCCAUUCACAGUUCGGAUAGAGGUCUGCAACUCGACCUCUUGAAGUUGGAUUCGCUAGUAAUCGCGUAUCAGCAAUGACGCGGUGAAUACGUU